rnacentral:rRNA from 1 species
GAUGAACGCUGGCGGCGUGCUUAACACAUGCAAGUCGAACGGAAAGGCUCCUGCUUGCAGGGGUACUCGAGUGGCGAACGGGUGAGUAACACGUGGGUGAUCUGCCCUGCACUUCGGGAUAAGCUUGGGAAACUGGGUCUAAUACCGGAUAGGACCGCAUUUUGGAUGGUGUGGUGGAAAGUUUUUUCGGUGUGGGAUGAGCUCGCGGCCUAUCAGCUUGUUGGUGGGGUAAUGGCCUACCAAGGCGUCGACGGGUAGCCGGCCUGGGAGGGUGGACGGCCACAUUGGGACUGAGAUACGGCCCAGACUCCUACGGGAGGCAGCAGUGGGGAAUAUUGCACAAUGGGCGCAAGCCUGAUGCAGCGACGCCGCGUGGGGGAUGACGGCCUUCGGGUUGUAAACUCCUUUCGCUAGGGACGAAGAGUAAUUGACGGUACCUGGAGAAGAAGCACCGGCUAACUACGUG